GAUGAAGAACGUAGCGAAAUGCGAUAAGUAAUGUGAAUUGCAGAUUUCAGUGAAUCAUCGAAUCUUUGAACGCACCUUGCGCCUUGUGGUAUUCCACAAGGCAUGCCCGUUUGAGUAUCAUUAAAUCAUCAACUCUAAAACCUUUGUGGUUUUUUUUAGAGCUUGGUCUUGAGGGUUUUGCAGGCUUUUUUUUUUUUCGAGUCUGCUCCCUUUAAAUGCAUUAGCGAGACUUCCCUAUGCUGAACCGUCUCUUUGACGUGAUAAUUAUCUGCGUCGAAUUUUGGUUCUCGUUGGGCUUGCUUCUAAUCGUCUGUUAAAGACAAAACGGAUUUGGGUGCAUAUAUGCGCCUUUUUCCAAAACCUUUUUUUGAUCUCAAAUCGGGUAGGACUACCCGCUGAACUUAAGCAUAUCAAUAAGCGGAGGA
rnacentral:misc_RNA from 1 species